AGAGUUUGAUCAUGGCUCAGAUUGAACGCUGGCGGCAUGCUUUACGCAUGCAAGUCGAGCGGCAGCGCGGGGGCAACCCUGGCGGCGAGCGGCGAACGGGUGAGUAAUGCAUCGGAACGUGUCCCGGAGUGGGGGAUAACGCCGCGAAAGCGGCGCUAAUACCGCAUAUGCUCUGAGGAGGAAAGUGGGGGCUCCGCAAGGACCUCAUGCUCUGGGAGCGGCCGAUGUCCGAUUAGCUUGUUGGUGAGGUAACGGCUUACCAAGGCGACGAUCGGUAGCUGGUCUGAGAGGAUGAUCAGCCACACUGGGACUGAGACACGGCCCAGACUCCUACGGGAGGCAGCAGUGGGGAAUUUUGGACAAUGGGGGCAACCCUGAUCCAGCCAUGCCGCGUGCGGGAAGAAGGCCUUCGGGUUGUAAACCGCUUUUGGCCGGGAAGAAAAGGUUCAGGCUAAUACCUUGGAUUUUUGACGGUACCGGCAGAAUAAGCACCGGCUAACUACGUGCCAGCAGCCGCGGUA
rnacentral:rRNA from 1 species